GCGCAAGUGGUGGAAUGGUAGACACGCUACCUUGAGGGGGUAGUGCCUGUAUGGGCGUGGAGGUUCAAGUCCUCUCUUGCGCACCA
rnacentral:tRNA from 1 species